CUCGGAAAAAUUCGGGCGGGCUCGGGCGAGAUCGCGAUACCUCGUCCGAUCUCGCCCGAAUUUACCCGACUCGCUU